CACGUCUGGUAGCAUCUCUGGCUGCUGUUGACUUUGUUUUUGGAGUAAAACACGGUGGAAGCUGAAUUAGUGAGGAUGACUCCUGCUCCUGUCAUCUCUAAGCUCCUCACACAUCUUUACCUGCACAUGAGGAAAAUCACUCCUGUAGAAUGCAGAUGUUCAGAGGGAGAUGAUGCCACAUCUGGUCCAGCUGAUGGAAGGUCUUGAAGUUCUCUGACUGACCUCGACUGAAGAUGGUCGUCUCACUGGAUUUAAGGUUCAGAUGCUCAGUAACAAACUCCACCAAUGAGCCAACAGGGAAGCUUUAGGUUUAUUAAAUGUUGCUAUGAAGGUUUCGCUGUUUUUCUUUGUGAAUGCAAUGUGCUCCAACUGAAACUUGAAUUAGAACUUAGAAGUAAAUCCUUCCAUCUGAAAGGAUUUAGUUGCAUUAAUAACCUCAUAACAUUCUAAUUUUUAUUCCAGUCUUGGUUGGAAAUAGAAUCUCUGUAUUGAUUCAGGUAAAAACUGAACUUCACAGCAUGUUGGAGCAAAACAACCAGAUGAAAACUGUGAUGGUGUUGGAUUGUCAGACCGUAAUGUUGCAGCUCAAAGCAGCUUUUCUAGCUCAGUUCAUUCUGACAUUCAGCUAUGAAUCAACACAGCAGAUGGUGAUCCAUGCUGUGGAAGUCUCACAUCUCCUGAUUUAAUGGAGCUGCUUUGCACUUUUUACACUGUUUAUUCACCAACACUUUAUUUAAUAAAAGUCCCAUCUAGUUUUUAUGAGGAAUGUGAUGUUUUAAUUUCUCUGUGAAUAACUGCAGUCUAAUGCAACAGCUGGAAUUGUAACAUCUGUCCUGAUAUUGAUCAUGAAGUAUUGAUCAGAAUACUUAUGGUCAGCAGUCAUCCCUGAAGUUUUACAUUAAAAUCUUUACUUGUGUUGUGAACUUUGGUAAGAAGCAAAAACGUUACUGUUGC